rnacentral:tRNA from 1 species
GCCCGAUUAGCUCAAUGGGAGAGCGGCCGGUUUACACCCGGUUGACGACUGUUCAAUUCGGUCAUUGGGUA